rnacentral:tRNA from 1 species
GGCGCUAUAGCCAAGUGGUUACGGCGACAGAUUAGAACUUAUUGAGUGAAGAUCUGUUCCUCUUUGAGGGCGCAGGUUCAAAUCCUGCUGGCGUCG